UAUAACAGGUGUAUAGCAGGUGUAUAACAUGUCUAUAGCAGGUGUAUAACAGGUGUAUAACAUGUCUAUAGCAGGUGUAUAACAGGUGUAUAGCAGGUGUAUAACAUGUCUAUAGCAGGUGUAUAGCAGGUGUAUAACAUGUGUAUAGCAGGUGUAUAGCAGGUGUAUAACAUGUCUAUAGCAGGUGAAUAGCAGGUGUAUAACAGGUGAAUAGCAGGUGUAUAACAUGUCUAUAGCAGGUGUAUAGCAGGUGUAUAACAUGUCUAUAGCAGGUGUAUAACAGGUGUAUAACAGGUGUAUAACAGGUGUAUAACAGGUGAAUAACAGGUGUAUAGCAGGUGUAUAACAGGUGUAUAACAGGUGUAUAACAGGU